GGGUUGAGAAUAUUAAAGAAAUUAGAGUUUAUAUGAAAGAUUGCACAAAACUCGGACAUUCGGUAAUGUAGAUAUUUACUGAAUUUGGGACAGUUUAUGGGUCUGAUAAGGUAUCUUAUGAGAGAGUUCGUAGGCGGAGAAAGAAAUUUCUGACUGGCACAAAGUUCGUCAAAGGUGCAGAAAAAUCUGGCCGACCUGUGACUUUAACAGGCAAGGCAAAUGUCUCAAAAGUCAAGGAAAUGAUAGAAAGUGAUGGUAGAGACACGGUUCAUGAUAUUUCCAAAAGUGUUGGCAUAUCGCUAUCGCGGUCACAAUUCAUUUUGAAGUGUAUUUUGAAAGUAUGAAAGCUUUAUCGGCAGAUAACCAAAAACGGGUACGAGUAGAAAACGCUGAGCAAUUGCUAAAAAUGUUUCCCAAAUUCAAUCAAAGACAAUUUGCAAACAGUGUUACUGGUUACGAAAAUGGGUUUACUAUUUCAACCCAGUAAGAAAAAUUGUAAACAAAAUAUGGCUAACUAAACACGGUAGAAGGCCUGUAGUUGCCUAAAGAACCAUGAGCAUAAAGAAGGUUCUUUAUUGCAUAUUAUUUUCAUGUGAUUGUAUAGCCGUACAAAUUCCGGUGUCGAAGGGCAAAGGUGUUACAGAUCGGUAUUACCAAGAUGUUAUCUUAAAAUGCUCAAGAAAUAUUAUGAUAAACGACGCCCUGUGUCAGGAUUUAGGCAUGUUCGUCUACUUCAUGAUAAUGUUCCGUCACAUACAUGUGAGGUUGUGAAGCAAUUUUUGGAGUCGGGGAAGGUUAAUAUCUUGCCACUCCCACCAUACUCUCCAGAUCAAACCCCAUGCGAUUUUCCCCUCUUUUUCUAAAACUUAAAAAGUUCCUCUCUGGUCGUCGUUACAAGUCCCGAAUAGCCCUUGGUUCAGCCAUCAGUCAGUGCCCCAGAGCUCUACCUAAAUCAGCGUACCGUGACGCAUUUCAGAAAUGAAUUCAGAGAUAGAAAUUAUGUAUUUCAAACUGUGGAGAAUACUUUGAAGUUAUGUAAUGUUCAUUUUACUAUUUGAGUCGAAUGUUUUUAAGAUAUCGUACAAUAUACAUGGCACAUCAAACAGCCCUCGUAUAUGUCAAGUACUCGCAACUUUGGCUAUUUCAUGAUGAAAUAUAUUUUCACUUGAAGAAUUGCCUGAUCCGCACAACAAAGCAUGAGAAGCAUAAUGCGUUGCAUAAUGUACCAUGUAUCAUCACGUCUUAUCGACUGACAUUGGAUCAGAAGGAUUAGAUUUGUUACAUUUUACAGUGUCGGAUUUGCUGCAUCCCAUCAUGCAAAGAUGUUCUCCGACCAAAAAUGAAAAUCGAUCCUAAGUUCGAUAUUGAAAGUGGCAUGACCUUAAGGAACUACAUGUACCUAUCCAUCCUGAAAACUGAAUACCAUUUUUACCAAUUACUAGAUGUAAAAAUGUUCCUGUUAAUCGUCUGAAUCAUGUCCGAAAAAAAUUCAGUUAUGGAUACAUUCACCAGUGUCAGCUUAUGGCAUGGCAGAUGAUACCGACGAAGACAACAAAAAGGAGGAAGGCGGCGUAUAUAUACAGUAAUCCCUUUACGAAAGGAAGAAAUUUAUCUAGAAGUGGGGAUGUUAAAAAUAUGGAAAUAUCAGAAGCAAGGGGUAUUAUUUUGUGAAAUCUAAGCUCCUAACUUUCGAUUUUCAGAGAAAAUAUUGAAGUAUUCUAACUAUAUUUAACUAUUCUGGUACCAUAAAACAAGGGACUUGGACAUGAAGCGGUGUGGGACAUGGCAGAUGAGAGCAAAUUGUUGCUUUCCUAUUUGCCAUUGACGAUUUUGUUUAAGAAUUCGGCAGUUGCACGUGUACUGAAAAGAUUCGUGAAUACAAUAAACCCAGAGGUCGAAAUCAAAAUCCGAGUGCUCUCUUUGCACCAAAAUACUCAUCCAUGAAAAGGGGAGCUGAAGAAAGUAUGUUUAUCUCAGCAGGGUGUAUUAAAAAUGAUCCAAAGCCACUGACCUUCAGAUCAGACACAGUUUCAUUGAAAAAUGAUAUUAUUUUCUUUCCGACCUCAGUUCGAUAGAGAAGGAAUGUGGAUGGACAAAUAUCUGGGAUUUUGAGUAAGGAAAUGUUUGUGUGGAAGACCAAGGCAGGAAUUUUGACGUCACAAUGAGAACAAUUUCUACAAAAUGUCCACAUUUUAAAAACCUAGGUUGAUCAAUAUCUUCCAAGCUUUUAAAGGUAGAGCUUUGAUAUUGGGUUCCUAGAUUCUCUAUGUUACGACCUUGUUAUGUCUUGGUGUUUGACCUUCUGAUCUUGAGCUGGACGUUCAACCUACUUUUCAUAAAAAUCUAACCUGAAUUAUUUGAAAUAAAUCAUCCCCUCCUUAAUUUUUGGCGAACAUUUACAUCAUAACAUCCUGUUAAUAACACAUAUUCUGUUCUACUAAGAUUGCUAAUAAAUUGUGUAUUGAUUGUAUAAAUAUAUUGAUGUUACAUCAAUAUGCAUUGAUGUAAUUAGAUUGAUGUUAAAUAAUAUACCAACUAUGAUUAGAUAAAUAAUGUAUUGACC